AAGAGACAUGCAUGGGUUGAUGUGAAAAUAGUAGAACAGUACAAGUGCAGAAUGUGAUGCUGUUUAACAAAGCAAGAAUUAUUUUUUUGUAAAUUCUAGGAAGUGACACUCUAAGUCAGCGUGUUUCUUCAAUGGACUGAUCAAGUUCAGAGCCCAAGAAUUUGCCCAACGUUUUUAGAUGUCCUCCUCUCUAAAUGAUGAAGGAAGACUUGGAUUCAGAGAAAGAGAAAAAGGAGAUGUGACAAGGAGAGUAGAAGUUGGCAUGGUGGAAGAAGGAAGAAGGCACCACAAGCCAAGGAAUACAGCAACCUCUAGAAGCUGGAAAAAGCAAGAAAAUAGAUUCAUUCGUGGAGCAUCCAGAAGAACCAUUCUUGCAGAGACCCUUAUUUUAGCCCAUUGAAACUUAGUUGAACUUCUGUUCAGGCCACUGAAAUGAUGCCCCUUCCUUGAUAAGGCACAAUACCUACACCAGCAGCCAGAGAUGUUAUGGUUUAAGGUCCUCAGCGGCCUGUGAGUGUCAAUGUUGGUAUUUUUGGCUGUACUUACAUCCAGCAGCUGCAACCCCCAGUCAUAGCAUAAGAUGACAAAAACUGCAAGGUCACAGGCGAAUGUAGCCAGAAAUUUGUGCAGCCUCCAUAGGGCUACAUAAGCAACCCUGAUAUUGCAUAACAGCUCAGAGUUCAUUGUUUCUCAGCCCAUCCUUCUCAGGGUCUCCUAGAUGAUGACUUUGAAGCCUUUGAAGAGUAAGUCAUGCAUGUCCCUUCCCACUGGGUUAGGAACCUGCUGCAAUGUCUACAGGGGGCUUGGGGAGAAAUAAGGACUUCUAUCUAUCAUUGCUACAGUUACACUAGAAAGAGCUCGUCACAUGAGCCAAGCAGGUUUCCUCUCCUCCUGCACUUGGGCCUAUGCCACUGGGUGGAAUGAAAAGAAGCUCAAAGUUGCCUUCUCUUAAUAUCCUCCUCUGACUUAAUGAUUCCCAAGUGGAUGUGGAAGAUGCUGAUAGGACACACACCUUUUGUAUGGAGGGAGGGAAAAAAUUAAGGGAAGGGGAGAGAGAAGAAUGGAGGAAGAGAGAGGGAGACAAGGAAAGGAAGGAAGAGAGAAGAAAGGAGAAAGACAGAGGGAUGAAAGAAGAGAGAGGAAGGAAGGAAGAAGGGAAGGAAGGAAGAAAGGAAGGGAGGGAAGGAGAGAGAAAGGGAAGAAAAGGAAAGGAAAGGAGAAAGGAAAAAAUGAAAGGAGGGAGGAAGAGUGAGGCAGAGUCAGAAAGAGAGAAAAAGAGGAAGAAAGAGAGAGGAAAGGAGAGAAUAAGAAGGGGGGAAAUGGAAAAAUAUAAAAAGGACCAAACAAAGAAAGAGAGAGGGGAGGGAAGGGGAGAAAAAGAAGGAGGAGAAGGAGAGAGAAAGAAAGAAAAAUAGGAAGCAGAGGGGAGAAAGAGAAGUAAGGAAGAGAAAGAGAGGGAAAGACGGUGAGAGAGAAAGAGGAAGGAAUGGUAAAUAGAAAGGAGAAAUGGAGAAAGAGAGAAGAGAUAAGGGAGAGGGAGUGCAGACUGGGAGAGAGAGAUGAGAUAGUUAGAGAUAUACGAAUGGAGGAAGGAGAAAGACAGAGAGAUAGAAGGAGUAGGAGGAGGAGAAAGUAAAAGAGAGAAAGAGAAGAGGGUAAGGGAGAAAGAGAAAGAAGGACAGAGAGCCAUACAGAGAGGAACAAAUGGAUAAACAGAGGAAGGAAGGGAUGGAGAAAGAGAGGAGAAAAGGAAAGAGAGGGAAGGAAGGAAAGAGGGAGGGAGAAAGAGAGCAUGUGCUUAAAGAAAAGUUAUGGGGCUGGCUGUCAUUUCCUCCAGAGGCCAACAAAACUCUCCCUACUCUCUAAGCCCCAGUGAAUAUAUAUGAAAGAGCUAG
rnacentral:lncRNA from 1 species